AUAAAAAUCUGUCCACAUGCAGAGACGUCACCGGGGGAAGACAGGGUUGACACCACCAGCCCCAAUUUACAAAAUGAGCUCUUCAUGUCUUUCGUCCUAGUCACCAGCUUACCCUGGGAGGAGGCAUUUUCAUUUGUGUUUUCCCAACGUGGAAAGACUGAGCUUGCCCCCACUUCCCGGUGGGGAGGCAUUACCUCGGGUCAUGACAAUCCCAGCCAGUGCCUUGUGGCGGGCGUGUGCUGAGGCCAGGCCUGCGGCCAGCUCUCGGAACUUCUGCGUGACCAGCUGGGACACGGCGUCUGCGAACUCCUGGAAAACACAAGCAGCAGCCUUGUGACAGCGCCUUCUUCCUCCUCCACUCUGCCCGCGGCCCGCUGCCCACUCUGUGACCCCCCGGCCUCAAGAUGGCAAGCCAGCCACGGCGAUUCUGGUCCAGCAUGGCCCUGGGGUACGAGCCCUCAAGCAGGACCCUGGGGGGGACUGUCCCCACCUCCCUCCCACCUCGCAGAGGCUUUCUUCAGUGGAGGGGGGGGGUUCUGGUGCUCACACUGCUGACAGCUGGUUCCCACUUUCUUCCCUGUGUCACAGAACCAAUCACCCCAACACCCAGGAAUCACCCAAACAUCUGGGAACCACCCUUUCUCUUCAGUGACUUUCCAGGUGCUUCCUGGAUGGCGGGGUCCAGAGCCCCCUACCCCCACUUCUGAGAGCCCCCUCCCACCC